rnacentral:tRNA from 6 species
GCACCUAUGGCUCAGUGGUAGAGCAUUCCACUUGUAAUGGAAAGGUCCGCGGUUCGAUCCCGCGUGGGUGCA